rnacentral:rRNA from 1 species
UGCAGUUCGACGGCAGCACAGUAAGAGCUUGCUCUUACGGGUGGCGAGUGGCGGACGGGUGAGGAAUGCAUCGGAAUCUACUCUGUCGUGGGGGAUAACGUAGGGAAACUUACGCUAAUACCGCAUACGACCUACGGGUGAAAGCAGGGGAUCUUCGGACCUUGCGCGAUUGAAUGAGCCGAUGCCCGAUUAGCUAGUUGGCGGGGUAAGAGCCCACCAAGGCGACGAUCGGUAGCUGGUCUGAGAGGAUGAUCAGCCACACUGGAACUGAGACACGGUCCAGACUCCUACGGGAGGCAGCAGUGGGGAAUAUUGGACAAUGGGCGCAAGCCUGAUCCAGCCAUACCGCGUGGGUGAAGAAGGCCUUCGGGUUGUAAAGCCCUUUUGUUGGGAAAGAAAAGCAUUCGGUUAAUACCCGAUUGUUCUGACGGUACCCAAAGAAUAAGCACCGGCUAACUUCGUGCCAGCAGCCGCGGUAAUACGAAGGGUGCAAGCGUUACUCGGAAUUACUGGGCGUAAAGCGUGCGUAGGUGGUUGUUUAAGUCUGUCGUGAAAGCCCUGGGCUCAACCUGGGAAUUGCGAUGGAAACUGGGCGACUAGAGUGUGGCAGAGGGUAGUGGAAUUCCUGGUGUAGCAGUGAAAUGCGUAGAGAUCAGGAGGAACAUCCGUGGCGAAGGCGACUGCCUGGGCCAACACUGACACUGAGGCACGAAAGCGUGGGGAGCAAACAGGAUUAAAUACCCUGGUAGUCCACGCCCUAAACGAUGCGAACUGGAAUGUUGGGUGCAAUUUGGCACGCAGUAUCGAACCUAACGCGUUAAGUUCGCCGCCG